rnacentral:rRNA from 1 species
CCGGCGACCGGCGCACGGGUGAGUAACACGUAUGCAACCUGCCCUCCGCGAGGGGGAUAACCCGGAGAAAUCCGGACUAAUACCGCGUGGUACAUCUGUGGGGCAUCCCACGGGUGUUAAAAGGAAGCGAUUCCGGCGGAGGAUGGGCAUGCGGCGCAUUAGCUAGUUGGCGGGGUAACGGCCCACCAAGGCGACGAUGCGUAGGGGUUCUGAGAGGAAGGUCCCCCACACUGGUACUGAGACACGGACCAGACUCCUACGGAAGGCAGCAG